rnacentral:lncRNA from 1 species
GGCAUGGUUUCUCCCUAAUGAAAACUAUGGCAUUUCUUUGCGAUCUCUUUAUUUUGCAGGUGUCUUUACUUUAACUUUCUUAAACAUAGCUUAAUGCUAAAUGCUAAAGUGGAUUUAUGCUGGAUAUAAAGAGCUCUCCUUUAAAACAAUUUAUUGUGGAUUCCCAUUGUGUAGCAAAUUAGGCUAUGCAUGAGUGCAUUACUAGGCCAGCCACAGAUCUAGGCACUAGGAGGAUGUCAAAGACAAGACUGAUUACUACCCCUCAUGGAAACUAGCAAUCUAAUUAGAAGGCUUUUCCAAUCUUCCAACAGAAGCCACCUCUUACUUAGCAGUCCACCACUCUGGGGUCUUGAUCAAUGCUUUCUAACCCUUGGAGCACCAGUCAGUGCACAGAAGCAGCCAUCUCUUCGAUGGCACCCUGAGGCCUGGAAGAACUUCUACAGAUCUCCAACCAUGGAAGCUGCAAAUGGAGAGCAUUGUUUGAACUGGAUCAGCGUAACUGAGCCAGGCCUGGACUCCACCUGUUUACUGCGGUAUUAAAUGUGACUAAACAAGCUAAAAAUUUAUGGAGAAC